UUCUUAUUCUACGCCAUCUUUAGCAUCAUCAUCAUCAUUAUCCUUUUAUCCUAAAAUUACGUUUCCUUUUUUAUCCUAAAUCCAAUUCUUUCCCAAUUUCCAUGAACACCUCCUCACGAUGAUACUCCUUAAGAUUUACUAUUCCUCGUUUAACCAUCUCCUCGAAGGACUAACAUCUCGUCGUCCUCGAGGAUCCAGUUGUUGGACGCGUUGUUCUUCUACGGUUUUUAAAGAAGGAUGAGCGAAAGAGACGGCGCGUUUCGCGACGACGACGACGACGACGCUAAACGGUCGAUGUCGCCGUUCUGCUACCGUCGUUAUUCCUGCUACUGCCGUUGCUGCCGUUGCUGCCGUUGCUCUUGGUAUCAAAGGGUGCAACGGAUAAAAGGAGUUAAAGACAGACGGACACAGUGAUGUUAGAGAUUCUCAAGAUAAAAAGGGUGAUAAGAAGGGUGUAAAGAAAUAAAGGGUGAAUGUCAUAGGAAGACAGAGAAGAUAGAAGAAGAAUAAGAAUAAGAAUAAGAAUAAGAAGAGAUUGAAGAGAGCAGCCAUUUUGGUCGGUGGCUGUCCGCGUUGCCGAUGACCGCGGUGGUGGUAGUGGUGGUGAUGAUGUUGUUUGGUGUUUCUACCGGCAUUGUUUGUUCGUCGGUGUUAUUCGUGACUGAUCAUCGUUCUCGUCGUUCCUCGUUCUCGUCGUCUUCGUCGUCGUCGUCGUCGUCAUUGUCAUCGUCUUAAUCGUAAUCGUAAUACGUGUUUUUAUAAUAGCAAGUGUUAUCUCUUUAUUGAGAGAUUCACGAUCAAGAUUUAAUAAGAAAGAAGAUAGUUUUGACGAAUUAUCAAAACAAAAUAA